rnacentral:rRNA from 1 species
GAUGAACGCUGGCGGCGUGCCUAAUACAUGCAAGUCGAGCGAACAGACGAGGCGCUUGCUCCUCUGACGUUAGCGGCGGACGGGUGAGUAACACGUGGAUAACCUACCUAUAAGACUGGGAUAACUUCGGGAAACCGGAGCUAAUACCGGAUAAUCUAUUGAACCGCAUGGUUCAAUAGUGAAAGACGGUUUUGCUGUCACUUAUAGAUGGAUCCGCGCCGCAUUAGCUAGUUGGUAAGGUAACGGCUUACCAAGGCAACGAUGCGUAGCCGACCUGAGAGGGUGAUCGGCCACACAGGAACUGAGACACGGUCAAGACGCCUACGGGAGGAAGCAGUAGAGAAUCUUACGCAAUGGGCGAAAGCCUGAAGGAGCAACGCCGCGUGAGUGAGGAAGGUCUUCGGAUCGUAAAACUCUGUUAUUAGGGAAGAACAAAUGUGUAAGUAACUAUGCACGUCUUGACGGUACCUAAUCAGAAAGCCACGGCUAACUACGUG